rnacentral:sRNA from 1 species
GCUUGGUGCUGCAUCUCAAUCCCUGCAGCCCCAGGAGCAGCGGCAGCAGGAACAUGUAUGGAUUUAUCAACACCUGUCUGCAAUCUCUUGUGACAGAGAAAUUUGGCGAAGAAAUAUGGGAAAAAUUGAAAACUUCUGCAGAAGUACAAGAUGCCUUCAUGACCUACACAAUGUAUGAUGACAUCAUCACCAUUAAGCUCAUCCAAGAGGCCUGCAACAUUCUGGGUGUCUCCAUGGAAGCCAUCCUGAAACUCUUUGGAGAAUACUUCUUUCAAUUCUGUAAGAUGUCUGGCUAUGACAGGAUGCUACGGACACUGGGAGGAAAUCUCAUGGAGUUUAUUGAAAACCUAGAAGCCCUCCACAGUUACCUGGCACUCUCUUAUCAGGAGAUGAAUGCACCAUCGUUUCGUGUGGAGAGAGGAGCAGAUGGGAAAAUGUUUUUCCAUUACUACUCGGGUAGAGGUGGUCUGUGCCACAUUGUACAGGUAUCAUUGAGGCUGUGGCCAAAGACUUCUUUGACAUUAAUGUAACCAUGGACAUUCUUGACAUGAAUGAAGAAGUGGAGAGGACAGGGAAGAAGGAGCAUGUUGUGUUUCUGAUUGUACAGAAGGCUCGCAGGAAGGUGAGAAAGACAAAGCCAAAAAGAUUACAAGACAGUCAGGGCAUCGAGAGAGACCAAGAGGCCCUCCUGGCAGCUUUCCUCAGGAUGAAGGAGAAGUAUUUGAAUGUCUCUUCUUAUCCUGUGAAAAAAUUCCACUGGGAUGUUGUGAGAAGCAUAGUCAUGUUUGGAAAAGGGCAUCUCAUGAACACCUUUGAGCCAAUUUAUCCUGAGAGACUCUGGAUUGAAGAGAAGACAUUCUGCUAUGCUUUUCCUUUCCACAUUGUAUUUGAUGAAUCACUACGGGUGAAGCAAGCCGGAGUGAACAGUCAGAAGUACGUACCAGGACUCCAAACCCAGAAGAUUCAACUGGAUGAGUAUUUCUCCAUCAUUCAUCCUCAAGUUACCUUCAACAUUUUCAGCAUCCUCAAAUUUAUCAACAGUCAAUUUGUCCUGAAGACACGAAGAGAAAUGAUACCUGUAGCAUGGCAAAGUCAGACCACACUCAAACUUCGAGUCCAGAUGAUCUGGAUGGAGUGCAUGCGGUGCAUGGUGUACCUGUGCUCUCCAAAGUUCCGCAGCCUGCAAGAGCUGGAAGAACUCAAUAUGCAUCUUUCUGACAUCGCCCCCCACGACACCACCAGGGAUCUCAUCCUCCUGAACCAGCAGCGGCUGGCUGAGAUAGAGCUGUCCAACCAGCUGGAAAGGAAGAAGGAGGAGCUACGGGUCCUCUCCAAGCACUUGGCCAUUGAAAAGAAGAAAACAGAGACCUUACUUUGUGCCAUGCUGCCCAAACAUGUGGCCAACCAGCUGAGGGAGGGCAAAAAGGUGGCUGCAGGAGAAUGUAAAAGCUGCACGAUUCUUUUCAGUGAUGUAGUGACAUUUACUAACAUCUGUACUGCCUGUGAACCUAUACAAAUAGUGAACAUGCUGAACUCCAUGUACUCCAAGUUUGACAGAUUAACCAGUGUGCACGCGGUCUAUAGUAGAAACAAUAGGAGAUGCUUAUAUGGUGGUAGGAGGUGUACCAGUGCCUUUUGGAAGCCAUGCUCAAAGAGUGGCUAAUUUUGCCUUGGGGAUGAGAAUUUCUGCAAAGGAAGUGAUAAAUCCUGUUACUGGAGAACACAUCCAGAUCAGAGUGGGGAUCCAUACUGGACCAGUCUUAGCAGGUGUUGUAGGAGACAAGAUGCCAUGGUACUGCUUGUUUGGUGACACUGUGAACACAGCUUCUAGGAUGGAAAGUCUUGGGCUUCCCAACAAAGUGCACCUCAGUCCCACAGCCUACAGAGCCUUGAAAAAUCAAGGGUUUGAAAUCAUUGAGAGGGGUGAAAUCGAAGUGAAAGGUAAAGGGAAAAUGACCACAUACUUUUUGAUCCAGAACUUGAAUGCCACAGAGGAUGAGAUCAUGGGGAGAUCUAAAACCCCACUUGAUCACAAGGGUAAGCAAAAAAAAGAAGCUUUGUCAUUAGUGUUGAGUAGUUUUUCCACUAACCACUUCAGAUAUAUUUAGUAUCUGCACGGUCAACACAGAUAGCGUCCCUGCCCACCACCAAGCUCCAGGGCUCAGUUCAACCAUCUUGCCCUGAUUCUUGCAUCCUGGUUAUUAUGAUGUUCUUUGAGCUGGGCUGAUAGAUCCAGCUGAAGAGUUCUACAUACAUUAGUCUUCAAGGUUCUUCUCUGGGCGUUUCCCAUGCAGCUCUCUGGUAGCUGGGGAAUGAUUUGUAAUGAGUACAUGAAACACGUUAAAUGUCCUUCAGCCUCCCUAGCACGACAUCCAACAGCUGGAACUUCCAUCCAGUCCUUCACAUGAUGGGCACCUGUGGGAAACCUGCCAGGGGCAGCCGAUGUUCAGAGGCAUCCAAAAAAAGUCUCCCACUUUGGCCUCCAUGAAGCCCACUCAUGCAACCGUCCUCACUUUUCCUUCCUCUCACGGUUUUUUGCAGAAGCAAGUGCUCAGGGAAAUCAAGACAGGAGAACUGUUGCCAUCAUGAGCUAUGCCGACAGUCAGCAGCUGAUCCCCGACAGAGACGCAGCAGACGCAGACGCUCCUGAUGAAAUCAUCCCUGUGGGGAGUGCAGGGCCAGAUGGGGACUCCAUGGAGACAGCCGACCGGCGACAGCCUUCAGUUCCGACAAAGACACAUCACCUUGCAAAUGACACUGUGCCGUCUGGUUUCUGUGUUUUGUUGUAACAGGUUAAAUGAACCCCUGGGCUUAAUUUUCCCCCUACUUAAUUCUGUGGCAGCAAAGAAAAGUGACUUCUUUUCAUUUCUCAGCUCAAAACUUCUUAAGCCGUGUCUCUUCCUCAUCAUCCCUUUGAGAAUAAAAGUCUAGAAAUGAAACACAA